rnacentral:snRNA from 10 species
GGAUGUGAGGGUGAUCUGGCUGCGGCAUCUGUCACUCCAUCGAUUGCCAGGGUUGAUUCAGCUGAUCUGGCUGGCUAGGCGGGUGUCCCCUUCCUCCCUCACUACUCCAUGUGCAUCCGUCCCUAAGCUGCAGGCUCAGUGGAAGAGGAUGACCAUUCCCAAUAAAGGAGGACCGGUCUUCGGUCAAGGGUAUGUGAGUAGCUGGGCUUCCAUUCUAGAACCUCCAAACAAGCUCUCAACAUAUAUAAAGGACUUAGAAUUCUCCCUAUCACAGAGUAAGCAUUAUGUAUUAGUUGUUAUUAUUAUUACCUAUUUUUUACAUUGCCUGGGUGUCAGGGGAGUUAG